UAUCACUUUAUGCUGAACAGAAAAUUGUAAAGAAAGGAAACAUGAUGUCAAAAUAUAACAUUAGCACAAAAAGCCCGUGAUUUUAGGAAGAAUGAGGGUGAAAUUAAGUUUUCUGAUUUUACUUUGACAUGGUUCCCUGUUCAUGUUUUCCAAAAGGCAGUGGUCUGAUCUUCACCUUGCUCCUGUCCUGGAGAAGACGUAAGGUGGCUUCUGUCAUGAACAGUUUUGCCUGGGCUCAAUUCCAGUCUGAGAAGAUGGCCUGAAGGACAAGGUCAUCACCCACUUGUGAUGGAGACCAGUGUGGCUGCUGAAAUUGCUCAUCCUGAUGUUCAGCAAGCAAGACUCCAGGAUCCUGGCCAGCUGGAGCAGGAGAGGCUGCCAAGUCCGUCAGGUUGAUGGAGCCAGCAGGCUGCUCCACCUGACUGUCUGGAAGCAUUCUUUUGGUCUCUUGGGAGGUUCCUAGUGUGUCUCCAUUUC
rnacentral:lncRNA from 1 species